CACUGUUGUAUCCCUGCAAAUUCCUGUUAUGAAAGUACCACCAAGCCUCCUGAUUUGAUGAAAUUAAGCAAAGCAAGAAACCCAUUUAUAAUUCUCGCAACUGCAGCUAGUAAAUGUGUUUUGCUACUAGAACAUGACAAGAUAAAUGCCAGCAACAAAAUUGAAGCCGAAGAACUGAGAGAAAUUGAGUGACUUUGCCUACAUUGAAUUAAGGAGAUAUAUAUUUUUUAUAGGAACAGAAGAUGAAAUAAACAGUGUGGAUAUAUGAAACAUACUCAGUGCUGUAACUACAAUAAGGGCAUACAGUACCCAGCAGAUUGAUUGUAAGAGAGUGUGCAAUGGGGGCAGACUAAGUCACAGCUGGGGAGUGUGGAUGAUGGAUAGACAGUGUCACUUGCUCUGCUGAGAAGGGGAAGGCAGCACGUCUGAAGUUGCUCAGUCUCACCAACGCUGCAGGAUAUACAGUGCUCAGCUGGAGUCUCUGGCCUGGCAGCUGAGCACAGACAAAUGGAGGCAAAUGGUGGCUAAGAUUUGUUUUGGAAGGGGAAGGAAACAGAAGGAAGGAAGCUUUCUGUACAUACUCCUUGCAGUGGGAAGUAGGAAUUAUGCUGGUGUUUUAUCACUCUGCUACUUCUCUGGAUAAUGCAUUUAUGUAUUCAGUGUGAUGCACAAGAAAUGAGCCAGAUAAUUUUGAGUAAGCUGAACCAGCUGCAAAUACUGAUAAAGUACAUUCAUUAUGUUAUAAUAAGAAGACUGUACGUAUAUGAAGGCAGGAUCAAAGUCAUCAGUUUCCUUCAAGGAGAUAACCAAAAGUCAUCCUGUGAUACAGCAGUACAUCCAGUAGUACUGUGCAUAGGCUGUACCAGCCUAAGGCAGUGUGAACAUUCAUUCCUGUAUCAAGGAUGCAGCCACCUGCCCCAGUUCCUCCCUUCCACCCAUGAGCCAAAAAGGCCCCUGGAUCCUUGUGACACAGCUCUUCUCUGGAUUCUUGGUGUCUGAUAACCUCCUAGGCCGCACAUAAGAUCAUACCAAGAAACUUACAGCUUUCCUGUUCUCAUCUUUCUCAUCUGGAAUAUUCUGGUACCUUGAGAAUAACAAGUGUGACCUUCCGCUUAGCCAUAUGAGGUAAGACCAAUAUUUUUCACACGUUUUCAUCCUUGUUUAUAUAGGUCUUCCUUGGACUUGUACAUACAAGUAAUAAUCAAAAGUAAUCACAGUAGUAAUCAAAAUCCUAAAUCUUGCAGAUAUUUAGAAUAACCUGGUGACAGAAAAUAUAGAUGAGAAGAAACUUUUCUCUCCUCCCUUCUACCUGUGUGGGAAGAAACUCAUCUUUAAGCAUCCUAACCUGAAGAACUGAAACUGAAUGAUCCAAUAGGGUCAAGAGGACCGAUCCCAUGUAUGUCAUUCCUGAUCACAGACACAUGGUAUUUAGCACUACCUCAUCUUAGGGAUCUCUCCAGCAGAAACAACAACAGUGAAACAUAGGUAAUAUGAUUUUUUCCGGUAACUUCCCUUUCUGACAUAAAUUAUGCUGUGGGGUACUAUCCAUGAAAUUACAAUAGAAAAAUUAUCAUAUUUUCACCCAUGAAGUCUGUAGGUUUUUCUGUCAAAAAAACAAAAUAGAAUUUUAAGUACACAUUAGCUACACUCUGAUAUGAUGGAUACUUACCAAACAUAUGCCUUUUCCUAACCCUAAGAAUAACAGGAUCCUUGACCAAGAUUCAGCCAAAAUGUUUUUAUCCCCACCUCUAAGAUUCUCUAGUGACAGAGACCUUUUUUCUCCCCUGGCAUACAAACCAGUUCACUCCUCCCCAGUGGUGAAUCAUCUGUUGGCAUGAGUAAUUCCUUUAUAGAGAAGGAAUGGCAUAUUUUAAGCACUAGGAUUAGCUAUGAGUGUAUUAUACUGUCCGGUUUUCGGCUGUUUGAAGGGCCUGGAAAGGCCCGGAGUGGCCUUGGGGCAGCCCGCGUAUCAAAGGACGAGAAGAAGCUUCAGUUCUUCUUUCGGUCUUUAUGUUUAUUAAUUGUUUAUCUAAAAGAU
rnacentral:lncRNA from 1 species